rnacentral:rRNA from 1 species
UACGGGGGGAGCAAGCGUUGUUCGGAUUUACUGGGCGUAAAGGGCGCGUAGGCGGCCAGUGCAAGUCAGUUGUGAAAUCUCCGAGCUUAACUCGGAAGGGUCAACUGAUACUGCUCGGCUAGAGUGCGGAAGGGGCAACUGGAAUUCUUGGUGUAGCGGUGAAAUGCGUAGAUAUCAAGAGGAACACCUGCGGCGAAGGCGGGUUGCUGGGCCGACACUGACGCUGAUGCGCGAAAGCUAGGGGAGCGAACGGG